AGAUUGAACGCUGGCGGCAUGCCUAACACAUGCAAGUCGAACGGGAGUAGCAAUACUCUAGUGGCGGACGGGUGAGGAAUACGUAGGAAUUUGCCCUUAAGUGGGGGAUAACCCGGGGAAACCCGGAUUAAUACCGCAUGACCUCGAAAGAGCAAAGUGGGGGAUCGCAAGACCUCACGCUUUUGGAGAAGCCUACGUCGGAUUAGCUAGUUGGUGAGGUAAUGGCUCACCAAGGCGACGAUCCGUAACUGGUCUGAGAGGAUGAUCAGUCACACCGGAACUGAGACACGGUCCGGACUCCUACGGGAGGCAGCAGUGGGGAAUAUUGGACAAUGGGCGCAAGCCUGAUCCAGCAAAUGCCGCGUGUGUGAAAGAAGGCCUCGGUUGUAAGU
rnacentral:rRNA from 1 species